GCAGCACUUUCAGCUGGCACACUAGCUGUGGAAACAUAUUUGUGGCCACAGUUGAAACCAUAGCAUCCAGACUAAAGGCUCAAUCCAGUGGUGCACACAAGCCCAGAAGCAGAGUUUUCAGGGGAGUAUGGCCUCUAUUUCUAGUCUGUAAUCUGCUUUUUAAUUUACCAGGGUCUCAUUUCUGGAGGAAACAACCCCAUCCAGUCCAUUGGGUCACAACUAGAAUUGCUUACUUGAAUUUGGGUGGAAAAGCAAAAUAGAGUUGGAUGACUUCUCUCUAUAUAGUGGCAUUCUAAGAAUAUGUAGAUGAUUAAUCUGCCACAGUGCUGCCAUCUCAGAGAAUUCUCGAGUCAAGUAAACAAAAACUUGAAAUAUUGUGGGCCAUCAAGUAUCUUCUGACUUAUGGAAACCCCAAAGUGAACCUAUCAUGGAGUUUACUUGACAAGAAUUGUUCAGAACUUUGUCAGUCUGGAUUCGGAAGUCCCACAGUAUCUUUGCGGAGGAAACCAAGAGCACCUAACCCAUUAGCAUUAUGGAGAAUCAAACCAAAACGAAGUCUAUACUGGCUCAGUCGUCGCCCAGGAUAAAAAGGUGGAUGCUGCUGAUUCUGGACAUCCAUCGACAAGUGGGCUACGGAAUCAUCAAAACCCAAAUGAACAGUCACAGAAGCAGCAGAAAUAUACAAUGCCAGAAAACCGCACAGUCAUGAAAUAUUAUUAUUAUUAUUAUUAUUAUUAUUAUUAUUAUUAUUAUUAUUAUUAUUAUUAUAUGUACAAGUACUAGCAAAAGGCAGUCAUUGGUGACAUACAAUGGAACAUAAGUACAUUUAUUAAAAUAAUGCUAAUUUUGCCCAUCUGCUUCAAAGACUGUAACAUAUUACCUGAAGCAACUAAUUCCUUAAUUUCAUGGUAUUUAUUUAAUCUGGAAGAGCUAAUCCGAAACACAGAUGGGAGGCUGAUAAAAAAGUAGCAAUAUGAUAAACAAAUUCUAGAACUGUUAUUAGAAGUGUCUCACAAUAUUUUCCUGAUUGCGCUACAAUUGUGACAUUUUUUUAACUUCUACAAAGUUUCAUGUUAUAAACUAGAAAGAUAAUAAUUUCUGAUGACAAGACCAACUCACUAACCCUCCUUUCCAAGUUUGAAUCUACCAUAAACCCUAGAAAUGGGGAUUUUCAAGGUUGCCAUCUGGUUGUUCUUGGUCAGUCUAGUCUGUCUCUCUGUCUUGGUUACUGAGAUUCAUUUUUCUAAACAGACAGUUUUAAAUAUGCUUACAUUUUAAUCUGUUAAUAUGCAUGUAUUAGUUAUGGCAAUGUUCUUCCUCAAAUCAUAUCUGCAUACAUCUGUGUCAAGCAUUCUAAUGGUAUUAUUAAUAUUAGCCUUCGGAAAAUCUUAUUGUGCUAGUCAAAAAUAUUGUUGUCGCUGUUGGUUCAUAAUCCCUUUGUUGUGGUAUUUGCUGGCUAAUAGCCCAAGAUGAUUGGCUAUUUUUUUUUUCAACUGAUGGGAGGUCAUGACCAAAACAUGCCCCUUGAUGAUAUCCCCAUUGAAAAACAGUAUCUAACAGAGCAUUGUAUUGUGUUGAUUUUUAUGCAGAUGUUGAUAACAACAACGAAGGCAGUUACAAAUAUGACUUUCAUGAAGGCAAUAAUAUAGUACAUUAAUUAUUACAAACAAGUAAAUCACAAAGCUAAUAUAUCAAGUAAAAACAUAGUAAAAUUGUGUGUGUGUGUGUGUGUGUGUGUAUCACGCACAUGCGCACACACAUACAAACACACAAACACACAUAUAUAUAUGGGGAAAGAAAGGCUUACUUUUGGAGAAUAUUCCCCGAUUCAUGGUCGGUUGAAUCCAUGGAUGCAGAGCCCAUGAAUAUAUGAAUGUUUUAACAACUAUUUGGGCCAAACUAGAUGUUUACUUUUCAUGUAGCAAUAAGGUGAAAGACUAGAUAAUAAAGGCAU